rnacentral:misc_RNA from 1 species
CUGUCCGUGUCGUCGCCAUCUCUCUCAUCCUCUGCCGCCUGGUUGCAGGCGCUGAAGAACUUCCAGGACGUGGAGCUUCCAGGACGUCAAGAAGACGUGGAGCUUCCAGGACGUCUUCGAUCUGGGAGCAUUGCUAGAGGUGACAUGAGUUUCACUUCUACAGAACCGGUGCUACAUGUAGCAUCUGUUGAUGAACCAGUGCUACAUGUACCACGAGUGGGCAGCGAGAUCAAUGUUGCUGGACCAAGUGUGGGCAGUGAGACUAAUGUUGCUGGACUAACUUUGGAUCGAGAGGCUUGUGAAGUUCAGUCACCACCUUCUGGUACGUCAGUACAUGGAAGCGGAAAAAAGAGGAAGAAAAGUCAAGUUGCAAGUGUUUUGGAUGACUAUUUGGAGCACAAAAAGAACCAAACAGAUAAGACUAUGGAGGCGUUCCUUGAGAAGAAGACUCGUGGAGAGGAGUCUAUGGAUAGGUGUAUCCACAUAUUUGAAGCUAUGGAGGACUUGACAGAUGAGGAGAAGGCCAUUGCAGCAGAGGUGUUCGAAAAUGAAUUGUAUCGGGAGAUGUUUCUGAAGCUAACAAUUCACAACGUGCGGCUGAUUUGGCUUCGGAGAAAGAUAAGAAAAUCGAGGUUUGCCACAGGAGCAUCAGUCAGAGGCGCUUCAUGCUAUUCUGAAUUUUCAAGUUCUCUAGAAUUUUUACUGGAACCAUAA